UACGUAGGGUGCAAGCGUUGUCCGGAUUUAUUGGGCGUAAAGAGCUCGUAGGCGGCUCGUUGCGUCGGCUGUGAAAACCCGCAGCUCAACUGUGGGCUUGCAGCCGAUACGGGCGGGCUGGAGUUCGGUAGGGGAGACUGGAAUUCCUGGUGUAGCGGUGAAAUGCGCAGAUAUCAGGAAGAACACCCGUGGCGAAGGCGGCUCUCUGGUACGUGACUGACGCUGAGACGCGAAAGCGUGGGGAGCAAACAGG
rnacentral:rRNA from 1 species